UACGUAGGGGGCUAGCGUUGUCCGGAAUCAUUGGGCGUAAAGCGCGUGUAGGCGGUUCGGUAAGUCCGCUGUGAAAGUCGGGGGCUCAACCCUCGGAAGCCGGUGGAUACUGUCGAGCUAGAGUACGGAAGAGGCGAGUGGAAUUCCUGGUGUAGCGGUGAAAUGCGCAGAUAUCAGGAGGAACACCGAUGGCGAAGGCAGGUCUCUGGGCCGAUACUGACGCUGAGGAGCGAAAGCGUGGGGAGCGAACAGG
rnacentral:rRNA from 1 species